CUCACGCCAUCGGAUGUGCCCAGAUGGGAUUAGCUAGUAGGUGGGGUAACGGCUCACCUAGGCGACGAUCCCUAGCUGGUCUGAGAGGAUGACCAGCCACACUGGAACUGAGACACGGUCCAGACUCCUACGGGAGGCAGCAGUGGGGAAUAUUGCACAAUGGGCGCAAGCCUGAUGCAGCCAUGCCGCGUGUAUGAAGAAGGCCUUCGGGUUGUAAAGUACUUUCAGCGGGGAGGAAGGCGGUAAGGUUAAUAACCUUGCCGAUUGACGUUACCCGCAGAAGAAGCACCGGCUAACUCCGUGCCAGCAGCCGCGGUAAUACGGGAGGGUGCAAGCGUUAAUCGGAAUUACUGGGCGUAAAGCGCACGCAGGCGGUCUGUUAAGUCAGAUGUGAAAUCCCCGGGCUUAACCUGGGAACUGCAUUUGAAACUGGGCAGGCUUGAGUCUCGUAGAGGGGGGUAGAAAUUCCAGGUGUAGCGGUGAAAUGCGUAGAGAUCUGGGAGGAAUACCGGGUGGCGAAGGCGGGCUCCUCUGGACGAAGACUGACGCUCAGGGUGCGAGAAGCGUGGGGGAGCAAACAGGAUUAGAUACCCUGGUAGUCCACGCCCGUAAACGAUGUCGACUUGGAGGUUGUGCUCCUUUGGAGGCGUGGCUUCAGAAGCUAAAUGCGUUAAGGUCGACCGCCUGGGGGAGUACGCCCGC
rnacentral:rRNA from 1 species